UUAUUUUUCUUUUAGAUGCCUUUCCAGUGGAGCUAACAACCACAACAAAACACAAAGAAACAAAAAAGCAAAAACAAAACGAAAACACCAAAAACAAAAAACAAAACCAAACCAAAAAAACCAACAAAACAAAAUACGACAUUCUCCAACAUACUAACAGCCGUCUCCAAGAUCAGAAAGCAUCAGAAAAGACCCUAAAGAGUUGUGUAAUCCCAGAGGAAGUAUCUUGCUUAGAUGGAGAAACGCUUGCAGCAGAAACCCGGGAAAUUUCAGGGAGUGGAAUUUUAUUGUCAGAACUUUCAAUGCAAGUGCAGCCACAGAUCCUGGGAGCGUUAAAUAAAAAUUACCAACAAGCUGUCUUACCUGCGUGCACUCCAUUGAAAGGAAGGGCAAACGUGAGCUAGUUGCGCUUGUACAUCAGUCAAAACUCUGACAGCUACCCUGUGAAGUUUGACGAGCUGCCAUGUGCUCGACUACCUAAGAUACUCUUAACUGAACCAUAAAAAGACAAAUAAAUUAGUAAUUGCA
rnacentral:lncRNA from 1 species